UACGUAGGGUGCGAGCGUUGUCCGGAAUUACUGGGCGUAAAGAGCUCGUAGGUGGUUUGUCGCGUUGUUCGUGAAAACUCACAGCUUAACUGUGGGCGUGCGGGCGAUACGGGCAGACUGGAGUACUGCAGGGGAGACUGGAAGUUCCUGGUGUAGCGGUGGAAUGCGCAGAUAUCAGGAGGAACACCGGUGGCGAAGGCGGGUCUCUGGGCAGUAACUGACGCUGAGGAGCGAAAGCGUGGGGAGCGAACAGG
rnacentral:rRNA from 1 species